rnacentral:rRNA from 1 species
GACGAACGCUGGCGGCGUGCUUAACACAUGCAAGUCGAACGGAAAGGCCCUGCUUUUGUGGGGUGCUCGAGUGGCGAACGGGUGAGUAACACGUGAGUAACCUGCCCUUGACUUUGGGAUAACUUCAGGAAACGGGGGCUAAUACCGGAUAGGAGCUCCUGCUGCAUGGUGGGGGUUGGAAAGUUUCGGCGGUUGGGGAUGGACUCGCGGCUUAUCAGCUUGUUGGUGGGGUAGUGGCUUACCAAGGCUUUGACGGGUAGCCGGCCUGAGAGGGUGACCGGCCACAUUGGGACUGAGAUACGGCCCAGACUCCUACGGGAGGCAGCAGUGGGGAAUAUUGCACAAUGGGCGGAAGCCUGAUGCAGCAACGCCGCGUGCGGGAUGACGGCCUUCGGGCUGUAAACCGCUUUCGCCUGUGACGAAGCGUGAGUGACGGUAAUGGGUAAAGAAGCACCGGCUAACUACGUG